rnacentral:misc_RNA from 1 species
AAAAUGCGAUAAGUAAUGUGAAUUGCAGAAUUCAGUGAAUCAUCGAAUCUUUGAACGCACAUUGCGCCCGCCAGUAUUCUGGCGGGCAUGCCUGUUCGAGCGUCAUUUCAACCCUCAAACCCCCGGGUUUGGUGUUGGGGAUCGGGCUGCGGUUCUACCGCGUCCCGGCCCCGAAAUCUAGUGGCGGUCUCGCUGCAGCCUCCAUUGCGUAGUAGCUAACACCUCGCAACUGGAACGCGGCGCGGCCAAGCCGUUAAACCCCCAACUUCUGAAUGUUGACCUCGGAUCAGGUAGGAAUACCCGCUGAACUUAAGC